rnacentral:rRNA from 1 species
UACAGAGGGUGCGAGCGUUAAUCGGAAUUACUGGGCGUAAAGCGUGCGUAGACGGCUAUCUAAGUCGGGUGUGAAAGCCCCGGGCUCAACCUGGGAAUUGCAUUCGAGACUGAAUAGCUAGGGUACGGUAGAGGGAAGUGGAAUUUCCGGCGUAGCGGUGAAAUGCGUAGAUAUCGGAAGGAACAUCAGUGGCGAAAGCGACUUCCUGGACCAGUACCGACGUUCAGGCACGAGAGCGUGGGGAGCAAACAGG